rnacentral:rRNA from 1 species
CACAUGCAAGUCGAGCGGACCUUUCGGGGUCAGCGGCGGACGGGUGAGUAACGCGUGGGAACGUGCCUUCCGGUUCGGAAUAACCCUGGGAAACUAGGGCUAAUACCGGAUACGCCCUUAUGGGGAAAGGUUUACUGCCGGAAGAUCGGCCCGCGUCUGAUUAGCUAGUUGGUGGGGUAACGGCUCACCAAGGCGACGAUACAUAGCCGACCUGAGAGGGUGAUCGGCCACACUGGGACUGAGACACGGCCCAGACUCCUACGGGAGGCAGCAGUAGGGAAUCUUCGGCAAUGGACGGAAGUCUGACCGAGCAACGCCGCGUGAGUGAAGAAGGUUUUCGGAUCGUAAAGCUCUGUUGUAAGAGAAGAACGAGUGUGAGAGUGGAAAGUUCAUACUGUGACGGUAUCUUACCAGAAAGGGACGGCUAACUACGUGCCAGCAGCCGCGGUAAUACGUAGGUCCCGAGCGUUGUCCGGAUUUAUUGGGCGUAAAGCGAGCGCAGGCGGUUAGAUAAGUCUG